rnacentral:rRNA from 1 species
GACGAACGCUGGCGGCGUGCUUAACACAUGCAAGUGGAGCGACGAACCGGGGCUUGCCCCGGGGCAGAGCCGCGAACGGGUGAGUAACACGUGGGUUACCCACCCCAAUGACCGGGACAACCCGAGGAAACUCGAGCUAAUACCGGAUGUGGUCUUCGGACGAAAGGAAGCUUCGGCCUCCGCAUUGGGAUGGGCCCGCGGCGCAUUAGCUUGUUGGUGGGGUAACGGCCUACCAAGGCGA